rnacentral:misc_RNA from 1 species
UAGAAAGUUCACAAGUUUGACAUAUGGAUGUAUACCCAUUCCGACGCCCGUACCCGAGCUCGAGUAACAUAGUGUGUGUGUGUAUAUCUAUGUUGAAAUCAAUGAGACAAACCCUUUUUUUGCAUGGUAUCAGAGCCUUAUAGAUACUAAUAAAGGAAAUGGAGGCUUUAAAUAUUAAUGGUGCAUGGGAAUAUGCAUUUACCCACUGGUAAGAAA